GGACUGGCACAGGAAAAGUUCAAUGUUGUGGUGUAGACAAUUACACAGACUGGAUUUUCGCACCCUCAUUCAAUCCAAAAGGACUGCAUACUCUUGUUCCAGACAGUUGUUGUGAAGGAAACACACAGCAUUGUAGAAACCUUAACAUUUUCAAUAAAACUGGAAUUUACACUAAGGGUUGCUUCCGUGAACUCAAAGAAUUCAUCAGGAAUCAUGUACUUAGCAUUGGUUUGGCAGCGCUUUUCUUUUUGGUCUUUGAGAUUGUUUUAAUCAUUCUCACAAUACUUUUGGCAAAAAGCGACAAUGAUUGAUCAGGAAUUGUCAAAUUUUUUUAAGCAUAUCUCACGCACAACAACUGGAUGUAUAUAAAGUCACAAUUUUACUCUAUUUCUUCCGUAAUUUUCACUGUGUCUUGUAUUUUAACAAAAUGAUUAUUAAUGAGGUUAUAGCUAGCUACAAGUGCAUGGUCGAUGGUGGGUGAUGUCAUGGUUUGAAAUUAAUGUAUGUCAGACGAGAACGAUUAUGCUUUUAUUAAAUGAAACGUUUUUUCAUGUUUCAUUCAUCAUAAGUAAGUAAUUUUGUUAAUAAAAAAUAUUAAAUAUUA